GUGGCUGAACACCUUGGAACUGCCAGGAGACAGCACCGGCUUCAUUUGAGAGUCCUGCCUGGACCGGGAGGAAAGGACUCCAAGGGGAAGCGUUCUGAGCGUUUGGGAUCAGAAACCGCCCCUUGGGGCGAAGGAAAAACCGGAAACCAAAUGUCUUCACUACCUGCAAUUGCAGAACUGUAUUUGAACAGGAGUGCAAGUGGGGUACAGGCUCAAGGAAAGUAGUUCAGAGCUCCCGACACUACCUCCUGGCUGGUCGUCUCCAGCCCCUCUCCAUGCCGUGGUGCCAGGGAAAGGUAUGAACCAGCAGCAUUACCAUCUGGGCACUGAAGCUUUCCGAGGUGAAACCUGGGACGCUGCUUUCCACAAUAUCUUUUCCUGGUAACCAUGUUCUCUUUUCCUUUCUUCACAUUUGAUAAAACAGCAUAUAAGCCUUAUACUUUUUUUUUUUUUUUUUAAGGUGGUAUAGAUGAUAGCAGCAGCGCAGAAUUUGAACCCAGUCGAUCUGAUUCUAGAGCUCCUGCAUUUAACCACCUGGGCUGUGGCACCUCAUCAUGCCAGCAUCACUUAU
rnacentral:lncRNA from 1 species